AAAAUGGUAAGCAAUUGGUUAAAAAAGCAUCAGCAUAUCCGAUUAUGGCCAAUUAGAACACAUUUCUUUACCCGGGGGCAGAAGGACAUCCCACCCUGCUCAGACUAUAUGAGUUAAGAGUCACAGCAAGACACACCUCCUGGGUCUGCAGAUGAUCCGGCAAACACAGGUGCAGGGACGGUUCCUCUCAUGCACAUUCAUGCCAGUUCCCGAUUGAGUUUUCAGGAGUUUCCAAAAAUUCUGUCAUUGUUUUCUUUCUGUGCUUAAAAGAGGACUGGUAACUCAACUCAGCGAUGGCACAAUCUCACACAAGUUACUCUACAACAAGAGAAGAAGCUGCAUCUAAGUGGUCAGAUGUAAUUAAGAACAGUGUACAGAUUGCAACAGAACCCAAACAAACAUACCUGCUGAACACAGCCAAGACAAUACUGAAUAAAGAUGGAACAGCCAGGAGAUACACGUUUGGAAGAAAGGACCCCAACAAAAGGAACAGGACAAUCAUGAUGGUGGGAGAAACAGGAACAGGGAAGUCUUUGUUCAUCACUAUGAUGAUCAACUACAUGCUGGGUGUAAAGUGGGAAGACAAAAUCAGGUUUGAAAUCAUUCCAGAUGAAAGAAAAAGACCUCAAACUGAAUCUCAAGCCACUGUGAUUUCUGCCUAUGAUAUUUUUGGGCUGGAGGAACUGUCUGUUCCUUUUUCCCUCACAGUCAUUGAUAUGCCAGGAUAUGGAAACACAAGAGGUCUGGAUGAAGAUAAAAACAUGGCUCAGAAUCUGUACACAUUCUUGAAAUCUUUAAGUGAUGAUCAACAAAUACAUGCAGUUUGCCUUGUGGUGAAGGCAUCUCAAUUUCGCCUAAGUCCCAGCCAGAAAUACAUCUUUGAUGCCAUUCUGUCUGUCUUCGGGAAGAACAUUGAGAACUUCAUGAUUAUUUUCACCUUCUCAGACUGGAUGCCACCUCCAGCUCUUAAGCUAGUUUCUGUGUCUGGUGUACCUGUCUUCAAAGAUGAAAAUAAUGACCCUGUUCACUUCCUGUUCAACAACCUUCCUCCUCAGAAGUUUGCUAAGAAAUGCGAAGAAACAUAUAAAACAGCCUGGGAUAAUGGAGCAAAGAGCUUCAGAGAGUUUUUUCAGAUUUUAUAUAAAAUAGAACCGCAAUGCAUGCAGAUGACUAAAGACGUUUUGAGGGAACGUUGGAGCCUGGAAGAGGGUAUCCAGAACUUGGCGAGUCAGAUUAAAGUGGAGAAAGAGAAGCACAGGGCACUUGAGGAGCUGCAGAAAAGUUUGGAAGAGCACAAAGAGGACAUGAAGAAAAGUAACAUCUAUCAGAAUACAUACGCAGCUGAGAAACAUGCAACUUCCAGCACUGUAUCUGAGGCACGCCGCCACUCUGCAUGGGGUUCCUGGAUAUUCUCAAUCGGGGGUAUUUUAAAGAAUCUGGGAUAUAUCAUAUGGCAUGUUAUAUGUAGAUUAUGUGCUACUAUGUACAGAAAAUUAAGGGGCAAUCAAUAUGAAGCCGUUCCUGAAACCUGCAGCUCCGAGGGCCACCAAAAAGAAGACGAAGAAAGAAUAAUAACAUAUGAGGAUCCUAAAAAAGAUGCCAAGCACAAACUAGCCACAGACAUAUCCAAACUUGAAGAAGAGCUGAAGGACAUGAAGGCUGAGAAGACCAAACUGAUGGAGAGUUGUUACCAGUCCAUUCUCCAGCUGAGAGAGCUCGCUCUGAAGUUUGAUUCAGAUUCUACUCAUCAGAGUAUUCUCAGGCUGAUUCCAAUGCUGAGGGAGAACAAAGACACAGAGAAGGUGGAAGAGCUGCAGAUGAUGCUGAAGAAGACUGUGUGAGAUUAACACACAUGGGGAAGACAUGUUUAGUUGCAUGCUCUUCCGAUUUUCGAUAUUGUAUGGUCAAAACCAUAUGUUUGAGCAAACCUGAAUAGUUGAGUUUCUUUUUUUCCCCAAAGUAUCCCCUGUUGCCCCUAAAACAGAAAUAUAGACAACAGCUCCCAAAAUAAACCGUCAAGGGUGUAUUUAGUCAGGAUUGUAACUUUAUGGGCUCUAUUUUCAAACCGGCGCAAGGGGACAGUAUAGUCAAACGCAAGCUUGUUGACAGCAUCAACAUCUUAAAACUGGCGCUAUGGCGUUUCUCAGCAAUACCGCUAGGAUCAAUAAAUUCCCAACAUAACAUCCUUUCGCUUGCGCUGCAGUGGGAGGAGUGGCGCUGUCUGGGGCGUGUUCUAAAAUACUUUUGGCGCAGUGACAAUUUGAAACAACGAAAACCCAUUGCGUUAUGAUCAGCUGGAAACACCUCUUAGCGGCAACGCCAUAGACUCUGGCAAUUUGGCAACUUACUAGUCAUGUAGUUGUAUGUAGUGUCUAUAGGUGAUGCCAACAUUACACUUCCAUUUAAUAACAAAUAGCCUAUAAAUUAAUUAGUUUAAUUAAUUAAUUUAAACUACUAGAAUAAAACAGGACAGAUUACAAACAACCUGCGAUCAUGUAGGCCUAUACCCUAAAAUAUAUAAAUUAUAUUGAGACACUAUAUUAAGCCUUUUUCAGCAUUGGCAGGCCGUUCGAACAUUUAAUGCAUCCUCCUCCCAUGCCUUCCGAACGUCUGGGAGAGGAGAUGGUAUGGAUUGUGAUCCAUAAAUUGCUACAGUCCUAGCCUGUAUUUCUGAUUCCUGUGUGGAAAAGCGCUCUUGCCGUUGACGGUCCAGUGCAUUUGGGUUGCUCAUUGUGAAAUUGCAUGGAGCGAUUGUGUUCCAACUGGAUUUCUUUUUAAAGCAUGAGAACAACAAUUUGAUUGUCUCCCAUAGAAACACACCUUGGACAUUUAAACCCCACCUUUUAGCGAUACCAUCAUCAGGUGUGCCAAGAUUUCCGUUAUGAAAUUACCAAAUUUCUCGCCGACACGCCCUCAGAGCAAUAACGCCAACGCUUACUCUUGCGUUCCCCAUUGCCUUUGGUUUAUGAAAAUAGAGCCCUGUAUAUCUCUACCUCUUGUGAUGUAACCCGUUGUUUCCAUAGGAACUACUGAAGAGACACUCCCAGGCUCAACAGAACAACAGUGAAGCCAGAAAGCAAAUGUAUGACAACGGGAAAAAUAUGACAGUAUGCUUUACACUGGAUUUACCUUGAGGUGGAUAUUUAUUUACUUACUGGUAUGUUGUAGUAUUUAAACAACUACCCAUGAAUAGAAGUUUGUAUUCAAUGUGUAGUAUAGUUUUUGAUUUGUGAAAUAUAUGUAAUAUCAAGCAUGAAUCUUGCAAAAUCUGUACUUGGGAGGAAGGACUGCUGAGGUAGUACUUUAUAAAAUCUUGAGUAGUGUCAGCUUUCAUUACAGGUAAAUAUAACAGUGUUUACUUUGUUUGAAAUCCAGUUCUCCCCCAUUUACUGCUUUUAAGGCCAUUUCCAAUCAAAACUAUGAGGGCCGAUGAAACAAUGAAUUAUUUAAAUUCAUAGAAUGAGUCUGUAGUUAAAAUAAAUUACUUCCAUUACAACAGUUUGUUGGUUGACCAAAUUCAUCUCAUUGUUAAACUUGGGAUUCCAGAUGUGACACGUUGAGCCAUGAGAGACCCCAGUGGCUGAGCACACAUUCUAAAAAACUUGGUUGCCCAAGACAAAUGACACAUCUACAACCACCCUAAAACAGUAUUGAUUUCCUGAUCUGAACUGGUCUGUUUAAUGGUCUUUUUUUCUUUUAAGGUACUGUGGAGUGCUUAUUAGAUUGGUAUUUUCCCAGGUGCUAUAAUUGUGAUACAUUGCAUGGACAUAGGCAGGAGGAUUUGUGUAUAGCUAAAAAAAGCUUUUAACUUCUUUGGUGGGAGGGGGAAAAUUAUAUACUAGAAUCCUGAUAUUGCAUGGGUAAUUUAGAAUGGCACAGGCCCAGAUCCCAA